rnacentral:rRNA from 1 species
UGCAUAUCAAUAAGCGGAGGAAAAGAAACCAACAGGGAUUGCCUCAGUAACGGCGAGUGAAGCGGCAAAAGCUCAAAUUUGAAAUCUAGCACCUUCGGUGUUCGAGUUGUAAUUUGAAGAUGGUAACCUUGGGUUUGGCUCUUGUCUAUGUUCCUUGGAACAGGACGUCAUAGAGGGUGAGAAUCCCGUCUGAUGAGAUGCCCAUUCCUAUGUAAGGUGCUAUCGAAGAGUCGAGUUGUUUGGGAAUGCAGCUCUAAGUGGGUGGUAAAUUCCAUCUAAAGCUAAAUAUUGGCGAGAGACCGAUAGCGAACAAGUACAGUGAUGGAAAGAUGAAAAGAACUUUGAAAAGAGAGUGAAAAAGUACGUGAAAUUGUUGAAAGGGAAGGGCAUUAGAUCAGACUUGGUGUUUUACGAUUAUCUUCUCUUCUUGAGUUGUGCACUCGUAUUUCACUGGGCCAGCAUCGAUUCGGAUGGCAAGAUAAUGGCAGUUGAAUGUGGCUUCACUUCGGUGGAGUGUUAUAGCUUCUGCUGAUAUUGCCUGUCUGGAUCGAGGGCUGCGU